GUAGUAAACAUUGGUCGCUAAUAAUUGUUUGCCCGGACUUCAAAUUCGGAUAUAUUGUUGAUUCUAUAAAAGAAGGGAAGACCCAUAAAAAAUACAAGCUCGUCAAGAUCAUUGAAGAUGCUUUUGGGAUUAAUUUUAACUGGCACAUGGCACAGUGCAAACAACAGAAAGGCGGUUGGGAAUGUGGGUAUAUGGUAAUCAAACAUAUGAAAGAGUUUAUCGACUCUAUACAACAUGAUUUGGUUAACCGACUUUGGAAUGAAGAAGGGUAUUUUGAAGAAUCUCAAAUUGAGAAUUUAGUGGUAGAUUUAAUGUCAGGAUUUAUUAAAAAGAUGUUUUGAUCUUGUAAGCAAUAGUUUGUGUUUCAUACUUUUGUAAUUCCGUAUACUUGAACGGGUUGUUGGGUUGUUUAAUACUAGUUAACUUUUGUUG